GACGAACGCUGGCGGCGUGCUUAACACAUGCAAGUCGAACGAAGAGCGAUGGAAGCUUGCUUCUAUCAAUCUUAGUGGCGAACGGGUGAGUAACGCGUAAUCAACCUGCCCUUCAGAGGGGGACAACAGUUGGAAACGACUGCUAAUACCGCAUACGAUCUGACCUCGGCAUCGAGGAUAGAUGAAAGGUGGCCUCUACAUGUAAGCUAUCACUGAAGGAGGGGAUUGCGUCUGAUUAGCUAGUUGGAGGGGUAACGGCCCACCAAGGCGAUGAUCAGUAGCCGGUCUGAGAGGAUGAACGGCCACAUUGGGACUGAGACACGGCCCAGACUCCUACGGGAGGCAGCAGUGGGGAAUCUUCCGCAAUGGACGAAAGUCUGACGGAGCAACGCCGCGUGAGUGAUGACGGCCUUCGGGUUGUAAAGCUCUGUUAAUCGGGACGAAAGGCCUUUUUGCGAAUAGUGAGAAGGAUUGACAGUACCGGAAUAGAAAGCCACGGCUAACUACGUG
rnacentral:rRNA from 1 species